GGUGAGGUACAAAGUGCUUAGCUUCCAUGUGUAGCACCCACGAUAUCCUGAAUGCCCACUGUCCAUGGAUGGAUCGGGUUUUAUGGUCCCUUUCACUGCGUUAAGCGUCACAGUUUUGGUGGAAACAGAGAAAGGGGUGUGCAAGACCAGUCAGGCACAGUUCAUUGUCAAAGCUGCUCAGCUCCUAGCUAGAGUUUUCUGAGAUGUAAGCCUGGCUUUGAGGCUGCUGGAUGCAUUUAGGAAGCUGUCGGGCCACUCCUGCAGGGAUGGCUCACCGGAUAGAACUUGGUGACUGUGGAGAUGUGGGGAUAUCCCAGGUCCAGAGCCUAGUGACCCUUAGCUAGGGCUACCAUCACUUCCUUAAUAGCCAUUCUUCGCCAUCCGUGCCUGACUCACAAGUACAACUCGUUUUAAAUAUUUUAAAGGGCUUGCACCAACUGAGAAGCUAAGAAUGUCCUCAUGUGGCGCCUGAGGCCAAGAGCAGAGCUUCCUCUGCUUUGCUGUCCCAGAUGGCCUGGCCAAUCACCUGAGCAGAGAUGACCUCGUCAAGAAAAGCUUCCUACCCUAGAGGCUUUAGAGCUAGUGUAAAGUCUCCCUAAAAUGUUCAGAGCAACCAUAACUCGGUCAAUUCUCUCUCUCUCUUUCUUUACAACUCUCUGCCUAAUAAUCCUUGCCUGUUUUCUAUACUGUGCUUGGUGUGUCUCCUGACCUCACGGACACAAGGGCUGGGGAGCUGAGGAUAAGGCUUACAAAUUAGUAAUGGAUACAACAGCUAACAUGUGCCACAAUCUGGAUCUCAAACCAUUUUGAACACCGCGUUGGUGCUGCCUCCCACGCAGAACUGGGUGUAACAAAAGCUGCCGUACACUGGAAGAAAGUGCCCCACACUUGUGGAUUUUGGUCACGUGCAUGCAAGCACACAGACAAAGCCCUUUCAAAUAAAGGACCAAAAUGGAUGGGA